rnacentral:lncRNA from 1 species
GCCCAAAUGUCAGUCAACCAGACAUGUCUUCUGAGAGGUGAAGAAGUCACAUGUGGUGAAUAUAUUAUCAUCAGAAUGCGGAGCAAUGAAAUGUAAACAGAUAGGAAUCGUCACUAAAGCUCCAACUGCAGCCUCCGGGUGCCAUAGCUUUUGCACCAUCCAUUUGCACCAUCUCUGCAGAUGUCUGCAUCAUCUGUAUUGACCUGCUCCCCAGAUUAAUACCGAAGCACUGCAAUUUCUUGAGGAUUAUCCACCUAGGAGGAAAUGAUACGCUGGCCCAUCCAUAGUAGUCAAGGGAACCACCAUCUCAGAUGGUAGAAACCACUCAGAAGGAUCAACUGCUGCAGACGGGAAGAGGAGCAACCUCGUGAAUAAUUUCGUGACAGGAUAUUGCAGGAGGGACUUUGUCCAAAUGUGUGCAGGGUAGUUGGCUACAGCAACAAGGAUGACGAACACAGAUGAAUUGAUCAGGAUGUAACCAUUCAAAGUUGAGAGGAUUAGAGGACUUCUCCGAGGCGGCUCCAAUGGAUGCCAGCAGAGUUAAAGUGUCCAAUGGAGAGAAGAGAAGGCUUGGGAAAUCCAGAGUCCAUUCAUUCAUCGCCCUCCUCCUAGAACAACAAAAGCGAGCCCCAGUACUCAUCAGCAUGGACUCUGUGUGUAGUCAUCUCCCUUAGUUUCAGAGGUUCCUGCCUACAGCAAAACUUUAGAGGCUUAGAGUUUAACGGUCAUAGCUUAUUCACCUCCAACUGUGUCCUAGUUCAAGAGAAACACUUCACAUAUCUGUAGGGAGAAGAUAAUGAACCAAGGAUACAAGUUAAGCCUUAGCUAAGACCUGUUACUCAGGAAAAAGAGCUAAAACAAGCUGCUUAGAUCAGCACCAAUGUUAGGUAGAGAGAAAAAGAAACGCUGCAUAGAAAUCUUAAGGUUCACAUGUGCUCCAGGCUGGGUCAACAACUUCUAAUUUCCUUUGCCAACCAACCAUGUCUUUGACAGAAAUGAUCCUUCUACAUAGACCACAGAGGGAUCCAAUGGAGGUUUCUCUUCCUGAAUUUGGGGAUUCAGAAUCUGGACAAAUUCCUUUCCAUCAAAGUCCAGUACAAAAGUAGUACCAUGGCAGUCCCUGCAGGGACUUGCAUCACUUUCCCUAGAGAUAUCAAGAGAAUUUUUAGUGAUAAGAAUAUGGCACAAAAUGAGAAAUCCCAUUACUCUUAAGAGAAUCUCUUCCUUCUCAAAGGCACCUGAUUAAUACAUAUAGUACUAUCAGUAAGGCUGAGCAAAAGGAUACUGAUGUUCUGAGUGAUCUUAAAUCAUGUAAUAAUAACUUUAUUCGUAGUAUAGAACGGAAUAUUCCCUAUUAGUAAUCAGUUCCUUUGCCAGAUCCUCAUAGUAUCUUAGUCACUGUUUUAUUGUUAUGAAGAGAAACUUUGACCACAGCACCUCUUAGAAAAAAGGAAGCAUUUAAUCGGGACUUCCUUAUGGUUUCACAGUUUUACAUAAUUGUCAACAUGGCAGAGAACAUGGGGGCACGCAAACAGACAUGGUGCUGGAGAAGUAGCGGAGAAUAUACAGCAACAUAUAGAUACAAAAUAUAGAUACAUAUAGAUACAGAAUAUAGAUACAUAUAGCUACAUAUAGAUCUGCAGGCAGCAGGAAGAGACUGGGACAAGGCCAUACCUUCUAAGGCUUCUCAAGGAGUGUCACUUCCUGAUGACCAAGCAUUCAAGUGUAUGAGCUUAUGGGAGCCAUUCUUAUUCAAGCCACCACACAUAGCAAAGCUGAUAAUGUCAUUUUCUGAAUUAACCAGGCCAAGGCACACUUCUUAGCAACAUGGUUACCUGGUAACCAGAGAUUUUUCUCAUCCCAUGAGAGAUUUCAUUCAAGAACUGAUCUUCUAACAGUUUUGUCUCUCUUAAGAAUGCUACAGACAGGGUGGGGUGAGGCACAGUGCUGAAGCCCCUCAAGUUUCCCAGAGGGAUGAGUCCAUGAAAGACGAAAAUCAUGUGGUCACACUGAGCAUAGACUUCACAAGCAUCAUGCUAGGAUUCCAUUUUCUUUCUCAACACAAUGAUAAAUUCUUCUUCCAAUAAGCAGAAAAUCAUCCAAUGGGAAAAAAAAAUAAAACCAACUAACUUGCAGUCCUUUGGAACAGUUUCAUAGCUUACAGGAUGGCUUCAUAACCCUGGGGACACUCGUUUUGACAUGAAAACUUCCUUCAGAACAGGAAUUCUGAUCCAACAUGUGCUCAGACAUCAUUUCAGUCACUUGCAAAUGAACAAGAAAGCUCAUGUAAAUGAGGAGGCUCAACUCCCAGGCCUGGUGAGUGGGUAAGACAUUCCUCUGCUGGGUUUUGAAGGCUGUCUGAAACCAUCGGCUGACAUCCUUCUCUGUGUGCAUGUAUGCACUAUCUACGGGAAAUUCAGCUCCAACCGGUUGUCUCUACAGCUCCCUUAAUCUUCUCCUCCCUCCUCCUGGCAUUGGCAUGUGUCCCAGGACUGCAGCGAGGAGUGCUUACCAACAAAGGUGCUGGCAUCUGCAUUUGUUUCACAGCCACAAACCUAAUGGUUCCAUGAUUUUGGCGAGCAAAACUGUCAAAAUGCCUGAGCACAAGAGAUCACAAGAUGAGCCAAGGCAUAGUGUGCAUGCCUUCCUUCCCAGCACUCGGAAGGCAGAGGCAAGGGGAUCUCUGUGGGUUCAAGGCCAGCCUGAAUCACAAGGUGUACUGGGGAUUCUUUUUUAUUGUUUUCCUUUUGCUAUCUGGAAUAGUUUGAGAUUGUAUUUGAUCAGUGCAUUAAACAACCAAUUAAAUAAUGUGUGUGUGUGUGUGAUUUGAAUGCACAUGAACGUGCAGGUGCAUGUUCCCAUGGGCAUGUAAGCCAAAGCUCGAAAGAUUUUCAAUGUCU